AGAGUUUGAUCCUGGCUCAGGAUGAACGCUAGCGGCAGGCUUAACACAUGCAAGUCGAGGGGCAGCGGGGAGGAAGCUUGCUUUCUCCGCCGGCGACCGGCGCACGGGUGAGUAACACGUAUGCAACCUGCCCCUGUCAGGGGGACAACCCGCCGAAAGGCGGGCUAAACCCGCGUACAUGCCACCGGGGCAUCCCGGAGGCAGGAAAGGCUUCGGCCGGACAGGGAUGGGCAUGCGGCGCAUUAGGCAGUAGGCGGGGUAACGGCCCACCUAACCGACGAUGCGUAGGGGUUCUGAGAGGAAGGUCCCCCACACUGGUACUGAGACACGGACCAGACUCCUACGGGAGGCAGCAGUGAGGAAUAUUGGUCAAUGGUCGGGAGACUGAACCAGCCAAGCCGCGUGAGGGAGGAAGGUACAGAGUAUCGUAAACCUCUUUUGUCAGGGAACAAAGGCGGGGACGUGUCCCCGGAUGAGUGUACCUGAAGAAAAAGCAUCGGCUAACUCCGUGCCAGCAGCCGCGGUAAUACGGAGGAUGCGAGCAUUAUCCGGAUUUAUUGGGUUUAAAGGGUGCGCAGGCGGUCUGUUAAGUCAGCGGUCAAAGCCCGGGGCUCAACCCCGGCCCGCCGUUGAAACUGGCAGUCUCGAGUUGGAGAGAAGUAUGCGGAAUGCGCGGUGUAGCGGUGAAAUGCAUAGAUAUCGCGCAGAGCUCCGAUUGCGAAGGCAGCAUGCCGGCUCCACACUGACGCUGAGGCACGAAAGCGUGGGUAUCGAACAGGAUUAGAUACCCUGGUAGUCCACGCAGUAAACGAUGAAUGCUGGCUGUCAGGGGGGAUUGACCCCUGGGUGCGGAAGUGAAAGCGAUAAGACAUUCCUCCUGGGGAGUUCGCCGGCAACGGUGAAACUCAAAGGAAUUGACGGGGGCCCGCACAAGCGGAGGGACAUGUGGUUUAAUUUUGAUGAUACGCGAGGAACCUUACCCGGGGCUCAAACGGGGAGUGACUCAGGCAGAGACGCCUGUUUCCCACGGGACACUCCCCGAGGUGCUGCAUGGUUGUCGUCAGCUCGUGCCGUGAGGUGUCGGCUUAAGUGCCAUAACGAGCGCAACCCCCGCGUGCAGUUGCUAACAGAUAACGCUGAGGACUCUGCACGGACUGCCGGCGCAAGCCGCGAGGAAGGCGGGGAUGACGUCAAAUCAGCACGGCCCUUACGUCCGGGGCGACACACGUGUUACAAUGGGUGGUACAGCGGGAAGCCAGGCGGCGACGCCGAGCGGAACCCGAAAUCCACUCUCAGUUCGGAUCGGAGUCUGCAACCCGACUCCGUGAAGCUGGAUUCGCUAGUAAUCGCGCAUCAGCCAUGGCGCGGUGAAUACGUUCCCGGGCCUUGCACUCACCGCCCGUCA
rnacentral:rRNA from 1 species